rnacentral:rRNA from 1 species
UUAUUGGAGAGUUUGAUCCUGGCUCAGGACGAACGCUGGCGGCGUGCCUAAUACAUGCAAGUCGAGCGAGUCCCUUCGGGGGCUAGCGGCGGACGGGUGAGUAACACGUAGGCAACCUGCCCGUAAGCUCGGGAUAACAUGGGGAAACUCAUGCUAAUACCGGAUAGGGUCUUCUCUCGCAUGAGAGGAGACGGAAAGGUGGCGCAAGCUACCACUUACGGAUGGGCCUGCGGCGCAUUAGCUA